rnacentral:misc_RNA from 1 species
AAGUCGUAACAAGGUUUCCGUAGGUGAACCUGCGGAAGGAUCAUUACCGAGGUAGGGUCUCCGGGCCCAAACCCCAACCCUUUGCGUACCUUAUUCAUAAAGUUGCCUUGGCGGGCCGCGUCCUGCGCCGUCGCCGGCCCCCGGUCGACGAGAGCCCGCCGGUGGACAUGUAAACUCCUACACCGAAUGUCUGAGUCUAAAUCAAAUAAUCAAAACUUUCAACAACGGAUCUCUUGGUUCUG